GCCUUAACAACUUCAAGUGGCUCGGUAAUGGAAGAUGGGUUGGCGGUGGCGGUGGUGAUGGAGGGGGCAGAUGGUUUGGGUGAUGAUGUGGGUGGUGGUUUAGAUGAUGGUUUGGUGAUGGUUUGAUGGUGAAGAGAGCUACUGCAAUGAGUGAGAUAAAUGGAGAAAAUGGGUAUGUGAAGGUUUAGAGAGAGAAGCGAGUUCAAAGACUAGCAUGGAUGAUAUGUGGUGUGGGAGAAAUGGGUUCGGUGGGCAGUGGGUUUGUGAAGAUGAGAAAGGUGGUGAGUGAAGUGGGUAUUGGGUGUUAAAGAAAAAUGAAGGUAUGAAUGGGGAUAGGUGUAUUAGGAUAUGAAGAAUGAAGACAUGGGUGUGGUGAUUGAAGGAUGUGGAAUGGUAGAUGGAGUUGCAAGACUGGUUUCCGUAAUGCAUGCAUCCUUAUGUCAUCCCC
rnacentral:lncRNA from 1 species